rnacentral:rRNA from 1 species
ACCCUUGAAUUGGGGAUAACUCUUCGAAAGGGGAGUUAAUACCGAAUAAUAUUCCAAUUUCUACGGGAGUGGAAUCAAAGGUGGCCUCUGCAUGCAAGCUAUCGUUUAAGGAUGGGCCCGCGUGCCAUAAGCUAGUUGGUAGGGUAAUGGCCUACCAAGGCUACGAUGGUUAGCUGGUCUAAGAGGAUGGCCAGCCACACUGGAACUGAGACACGGUCCAGACUCCUACGGGAGGCAGCAGUGGGGAAUCUUGCGCAAUGGGGGAAACCCUGACGCAGCAACGCCGCGUGGGUGAUGAAGGCCUUCGGGUCGUAAAGCCCUGUCAGGUGGGAAGAAACCUGUGGAUGCUAAUAUCAUCCACACUUGACGGUACCACCGGAGGAAGCACCGGCUAACUCCGUGCCAGCAGCCGCGGUAAUACGGAGGGUGCAAGCGUUGUUCGGAAUUAUUGGGCGUAAAGCGCGUGUAGGUGGUUGAGUAAGUCAGAUGUGAAAGCCUUCUGCUUAACAGGAGAAGUGCAUUUGAAACUGCUCGGCAGGAGUACGGCAGAGUAGAGUGGAAUUCCCGGUGUAGAGGUCAAAUUGGAAGAUAUCGGGAGGAACUCCACUGUCGAAGGCGCCCCUCUGGUCCGAUACGGACGGUGAGACGCGAACGCCGGGGAGCAAACAGGAUUAGAUACCCCGUAGUCC